AAACAAUGGUGUGGACACUUCCUAAAACAUUUCCUUGUAUCUCUCUCAUGCUUCAUAUAAUUAUUCAUGGUUGCUUUGUACAAACGAGGUAAUGUCAUUUCUCAUCUU